GGGGGGGGGGGGGGGGGGGGGGGGGGAGUUGUUGAAGUGAGCUAUAGUUGGAAGCCCAAUUUUAAGUCUUAACAUUAGCCCAUUUAUUUAUUUGUACACUUCAUAGCAUAGAGGCCCAUUAUAUUUUCAUUGUAACUUUUGUUACAUUCUUGGGUCAAGGCCCAAUAUAUAAAUAGGAGUUCAUCUUUGUACAGAAACGAUUUUUUUCUGCUCAAGUAAUAGAAAAGACCCAAAUAUUUAUCUCAACCAACUCUCUCUUUAUCAAUAUGAAACCUCAAUAAGGUUUCAUUGAUUUUGACGAUUUCUCACAAGGUAACAAUACGACCCAAUGUAAUAUAUUGCACUUACGUAAUCAUGUUAUUUACUUUUCA
rnacentral:lncRNA from 1 species